UAAUCCCUACGGGGCGCAGCAGUCGAGAAUCAUUCACAAUGGGGGAAACCCUGAUGGUGCGACGCCGCGUGGGGGAAUGAAGGUCUUCGGAUUGUAAACCCCUGUCGUGUGGGAGCAAAUUAAAAAGAUAGUACCACAAGAGGAAGAGACGGCUAACUCUGUGCCAGCAGCCGCGGUAAUACAGAGGUCUCAAGCGUUGUUCGGAAUCACUGGGCGUAAAGCGUGCGUAGGCUGUUUCGUAAGUCGUGUGUGAAAGGCGCGGGCUCAACCCGCGGACGGCACAUGAUCAUGCGAG
rnacentral:rRNA from 1 species